AUAAUAAGUCUGCAAGAAGAAGCAUAACCUAUAUGCUAGUUGGAUUAGGUAGCUGGUAAACAUUUCAAUACUCGUAAUGACUCCUGUGUACUUUGUGCUAGUCAUAUCUGUGCUGGCGAGCGUCGUCGCCCAUCCUUAUGAGGCGUCGAGCGCGAUAAAACAGCAAAGUAGAGUAAAGCGUGAAAAAGAUGGCGCUCCAGAGAUACAAGACCCCACGGACCCGAAGUACCAGAAAUUGGCCCAAGAAUCGUUUGAUAAGUACCGAGAGACUCACUCUGCCGGUCAGAUAAUUGUCAAGGAUAUCAUAGUUACACAAGUCACUGACCAGUUGGUGGGUGGAUAUGUGUAUCGUCUUUCAUUCAUCGUGUUCCCUAUCUAUGGUGAUGUACUUAAGUGCUAUUCUAAAAUUUUUGUUAAUUUAGAAAAUCAGAAGAAAUUUACUGUAAAUUGUGAUAAUUAAAUUCUCUUAUUUUCUUAAUUCUUGCACCAUUUUUUAUUACAUCUCUGUGUAGCCCUAUGGUUGACUGGUAGAGAAUGCCUUUAGGCAUUAAGUCCGCCAUUUGUACAUUUUAUUUGUAUUUUGUGGAAUAAGGUUUACUCUAAAGUCAUCAUACCCAAUUUAAAUUGGAUUAAUUGAAGACGGGUGCGGUAUUACGGUGAUAUUACCCCGUUACAUUUUGGUAACUUUCUCUUGAAUUAUUAAAUAGCCUACAUUUGUUUUUAACAGGUAGGUAUGUAUAAUAUUUUCAUAGAGAAUAAAACUGUUUUAGUUAA